rnacentral:rRNA from 1 species
GACAGAGGAGCCAAGCGUUGUCCGGAAUGACUGGGCGUAAAGCGCACGCAGGUGGUCGUGUACGUGUCGUGUGAAAGCAGCUCGCUUAACGAGCUGAGGCCACGACAGACUGCGCGACUGGAGCCCGUGAGAGGUCCGUGGAAUUGCCGGUGUAGUGGUGAAAUGCGUAGAGAUCGGCAGGAACACCCAGGGGGAAACCAGUCGACUGGGCAUCUACUGACGCUGAGGUGCGAGAGCGUGGGGAGCGAACCGG